rnacentral:lncRNA from 1 species
AGAAGUAGCACUUUGGCUUUUAAUAUUCACAUUAUCAAAUACAAGAAUUUCACAAAUUUUUGUAAUAUUAUAUAUAUUAAUAAUGAUAAUAAAUUUUGUUAUAGUAAUUGAAAUUCAUAUCAAUGUCAUGACAUUUCGUCAUAAUCUUAAAUAUUUAUUGGCAUUAUUGAAAUAUAGGUAUAUCUAUUAACUGAUAAAUUAUUAAAUACAUAACGAAAUCUUCCAUCCGUUCUAUUUCUUAAUUAUUAACAUAUCGUAUCAGUGCAUGCAGCUUCUUUUCUCAAAAAGUUGAGUUCUAAAUUUUCCAUCCACCCAAAUUUCAUUGAUGAUAGAAAUGAGAUAACAUUGAAAACAGAUUUUCAAUACAAUUCUGCACCUAAAAUCCAAAUAAAUCAUAAGCAAUACAAGUUCACUAAAACUCAAAUACCCAUCAGAGAUUUUAAAAUAUUAUUGGUUUUCAGAGUGUAAUGACCUAUAAAAGUAUAUAAAUCUGAAUCCCUUGAGCCUUUUUUGUGUUCCACUUGAGAUCCAAAUUAAAGGGAUCAUGCUUUAGUUUAAGGUAUCUAAUCGGAGAAUAUUCCAAAUAAAGAAAACGUAUUAAGGAUUGACAAAUGGGUUCGGGGAAAAGCACUUUCAAAUCUCAACCUCAGCUUAAAAUCAUCAUUUUUUUUAGAGUUGGGACCUCAUGCACGUCUCCUCCCCAUUAUUAUUGCUUUGCUUCUGCAUUGCUAACUCAUCUUCCACAAGCCACAGCAGCCCCGAACAUGCAACAGAUAGCACUUUGUUUAAGUUUCAUGGCCACGGAGGUGGGGUUCCCUUUGCUACAGUAGUACUGCAGAAAAAGUAUCGGAUGCCAUUAAUCUUCGAUGAGUACAUGUGAAAAAGGGUUGAUGAAGAAUACUUUCUUUGCAACCAGCUGGCUAGCCAACAAUUUUUCGUGGUCAAUUGUGGUUUUCUAGUUUCUAGGGAUGACAAAUUAACGGGGAAAAUGUGUUUGUACUUUACGAAGGUCUACCCCAAAGUUUUAGCCCGCACUAUGUACUUUAGUUUUUUUUUUCUUUAAAUCUCUUUUGGCAAAUGUAAAUGUUAUCCAACAGCUUUUUUUUGUUUAAUUAUAUUUUGAACAAAUUAGUCCUUGUGAGAG